ACUCCUACGGGAGGCAGCAGUGGGGAAUAUUGCACAAUGGGCGCAAGCCUGAUGCAGCCAUGCCGCGUGUGUGAAGAAGGCCUUCGGGUUGUAAAGCACUUUCAGUUGUGAGGAAAGGUUGAGUCGCUAUCUAAUCGGCUGACGCUCAGUUUGACGUUAGCAACAGAAGAAGCACCGGCUAACUCCGUGCCAGCAGCCGCGGUAAUACGGAGGGUGCGAGCGUUAAUCGGAAUUACUGGGCGUAAAGCGCGUGUAGGUGGCUUGUUAAGCCAGAUGUGAAAGCCCCGGGGCUCAACCUGGAG
rnacentral:rRNA from 1 species